rnacentral:lncRNA from 1 species
AAACAGAAAUAAGUGAAAUAAAUCUGAAGUAAAGUGUUGAAAACCAUAACUACUGAAAUAUCUAAUACAAUCCCGAAUCUGGUGUCACAAGUGCACGAGCUACUAGAAUAAUGCAGAUAAAGGUCUGAAUGAAGUAAAGUUGUCUGAAUAAAAAUACACAGCUAAAAUAAUGCAGAAGGGGACUUCAGGGUUGCGAACGCCGAGCAGCUGUACCUCAAGUCUCUGUCUAAUAGUCAACCCGAGCAAUCUACUGACCACCGCUGGGACCGACUCCAAAAUCUGCACAAGAAGUGCAGAGUGUAGUAUGAGUACAACCGACCCCAUGUACUUUGUAAGUGCCUAGCCUAACCUCUACGAAGUAGUGACGAGGCUAAGGCGGACCACUUAUAAUAACAUGUACACAGCAUAAAAUAAUGACAGGAAAGGAAAAUACGGAAACGACAUAAGGCAGUUAACUCAUGAAAAUAACUCAAUCCUCAAAGAAAACCAGUAAAUCCUUAGAGUCUCGUACGAAAGUAUCAAAGCCAACACAAUGCAGUAAGGAAUAGAAACACAUAAACUGUUGUGACGCACAAUCCCAUCCCACCGUACAACACUAUCCUCCCUUAUUCUACCAUGUAAAUUUCAAUAAUAAUAAGUAAAUAUAUAUAUAUAUAUAUAUAUAUAUAUAUAUAUAUAUGUUGCGGCGCGCAACCCGAUCCCACCAUAUAAUCACAGUCAAUAUCGUAAUCCUCCCUUAUUUCACCAUAUCAAUCUACCCUUACUUCACAUGUUGCGGCGUGCAACCUGAUCCCACCAUAUCAAUAUAAAUCCUCCAUUAUUUCACCAUAUCAAUCCACCCUUAUUUCACCUGUUACGGCGCGUAACCCGAUCCCAUCGUAUCAAUAUAAACAAAUCAAUAAGUGCAAUCAAUUUAACAACUCGAAUCACAAUAAUCUCUACGAUUAACGAAUAUAAAAGCUACAAAUCAAGAAGGAAUCUCGUACCAAAUCACAAAAGACUACAAUUAAUACUGAACAACAAGAUAAGUCAAAUAUAUGACAGUUAAAGGGUACAAAUAAGACAAUCAAGGCAAGUAUCAACUAAGCAUGGGAGCAUGGAAGGAAUUAACAUUUAUAAUGCGAGAAUAAUAAAUGACAAGUAGCAAAUUAAGGUAUAUGAAGCAAUUAAGGCAUGAAAUGAUAUAAUUAAUGAAAUAUGGGUAGACAUAAAAAUAAGUAAUUGACGGCGUAUACACACUUGUCACCUCGCAUAUACGCCGCCACUCAUGAAAUUCACAUAGCACAUAGCUCAAAGGUUCCUAAUUCCCUCAAAACAAGGUUAGACCCAACACUUACCUCACUCUGCAAUCAACUCAAAGUUCAACCAUGACCUUGCCUUUCGAACAAGCCUCCAAACCAAUCAAAUCUAGCAAAUUAUUAACCAAAUGAUUCAAAAUAAGCCUUAGAAACUACCCACGAAUGAAAUAAGUUCAAUUAAGAUCAUUAUUGAAAAAGUCAACCCCGGGCCCGCUAGGUCAAAACCCGAGGUUCAGACCGAAACCCGAUCACCCAUUCACCCCCGAGCCCGAUUAUGCAAUUCAAUUCGAAAUUCGACCUCAAUUCGAGGUCUAAAUCCCAAUUUUACAAAAAUUUCUAAUUCUACCCAAAUUUUUAAUUUCUACCAUGAAAAUCCUAGAUUUGAUGUUGAAAUCUUAUGGAAUGUAAUGGGUAAUUAAAAGAAAAUAGAUUAGAGUCACUUACCAAUGAAUUGAGGGAGAAAAGCUCUUGAAAAAAUCGCCUCUAUGGUAUUUAGGGUUGAGAGCUGGAAAGAAAUGAGCUAAUUCCCGUUUUUCCCUCUUUUACCCAGCUGCAGUUUUCGCAAUUGCGACACAUAGUUCGCAAUUGCGAUCAACCCUUCGCAAAUGCCAAGAAGUCACUGAGCCUGUUGUCGUCGCAAAUGCGGCAAUUUGUUCGCAAUUGCGCACUUUCACUUUGCAAAUGCGAAGCUUGCUCUAACACUGCCGAGUCGCAAUUAUCCGCAGUUCAACACCAGAUGAAAACUUGCACCAGUUAUGAUUCUAAAUCAAAAACCACUCUGAAGCCUAUCCGAAACUUACCCGAGCCCUCGGGGCUCCAAAUCAAACAUGCACACAAGUCCAAAAAUUUCAUACGAACUCGCUCGCUCGAUCAAAAUACCAAAAUAAUACCUAGAACUACGAAUUGGACACCAAAACGAAUGAAAUUUUUAAUGAAACUUAAGAACAUGCAACUUUUCAACCAGACGUCUGAAUCACGUCAAAUCAAUUCCGUUUUGCACCAAAUUUUGCAGACAAAUCAUAAAUACUGUAAUGAACUUAUAUCAUGUUCCGGAACCAGAUCCGGACCCGGUAGCAACAAAGGUAAACUCCGGAUCCGAACAAAUGGCGAUAAUGCAAGUUAGGGACUUCCGAAUUCGAUUCCGGGCAUACGCCCAAGUCCCAAAUCACGAUACGGACCCACCGGGACCGUCAAAAUACUCAUCCGGGUCCAUUUGCUCAAAACAUAUUCCAAAUGAGUUUUAAGGCACGAUUUGACAUUUUAGUCAAUUUUUCGCAUAAAACCCUUCUGGAAUAAGAUACGGAAUGCGUACGCAAAUUGAGAAAAGCUAGACGGAGCUAUUCGGGGUUUCGAAAUACAGAAUGGAGGGUUAAAACUAUAAAUGACCUAUCGGGUCA